ensembl:lncRNA
CUUAAAGACACGUGCAUGUGUUCAAAGGCAAUAGAAAAAGAGCAGUGUUUCCUAACCGGGGUGACCGUGGCACCCUGGGGUGCCGUCAGAUGAGAGCAGGGGUGCAGUGUAAAAAUCUAAAUGUGCAUAAAAGAUUGAACAAACAUGAUAAAUAUCUGAUGUCUGAAAUGAUGACACGGAAAUAAUAACUCAGACACACACACAAUCAUAAUAAUAAUAAUAAUAAUAAUAAUAAUAAUAAUGCUGUCAUCAGCACGUCGACAUCAGUCUGCGUAACGUACGCGUGUGCUUCAUCCUAAUCAUUAGCGUGUGACGAUGCGUGUGUAGUGCAAAAGAAUAUGGACAGAUUUCUUAAAAGAAAAGCUCCAGAUGCUUCUGGACCAUCAGCUUCAUCCUCAUGUAGCUAACGCUGUCUAGCAUUAGUGUUUGUGUAGGACUGAAAAAGGGUUGAGAAACGCUGGUCUAGAGGCGAUUAAAAAACCCCUGUGCAUUAGAAGAACGCUGAGGUGACCUUUGAGCUUAUCUUUCUCAGUCUGGAUUCCUAAAACCAGCACAAGUCCCAUGGAAUUGGCCGGUGAUGUUCUCGAAGGAGCACAAAACCUCAAGAACAACAUCGUCACACACGUGUCCAACCUGUUCUCGGGGGACGAAGGUGGCGUUUCUGAUCUUAAGUUUGAUCCGGUGAAAGUUGUCACAGACACGGUGGAGGAGCUCUCUGACAGAAGGGACAUGUUUUUAGCAUAUCUCUCUAAUAUCUUGAUGGAGGAUAAAGACGACGCUCCGCACGUGAUCAGGAGAAAAGGUUGGUAUGAAUCAGAAGACGUUGGAUGAAUGAUCAUUCAGUUGUGUAGACCGGUUGGCGUCAGAUUAGCGGUGUAUUCCGCAAAGCAUCCUUCGACACUGCAGUAGACGUUUCAUCGUCUAUCCAAGAAAAAGGCUCCUCACUGAGCUACAAGUAGCGCUCUAUUGAAGGACACGAGCUUCCAUGCUGCGCGCACUCAGCUCCAGAAUCAAUUAUUUCACACGUGCAUCCAUCCCGUCCAUCGUUUUUAACAAUAUAAACAAUCUGUUCAUCCUUAAAUAGUGUAAACUGAUGCACUGUGCGCACUUAUUUUCAUUCUUAGCCUAAACAUGCAUUGUUUUUUUUUUCUUCUAUUUAGCAUUUAACUGCACUAAUAAAACAACCUAACAAUAAAUAGUGAUGUCAUGACUAUAGCUGACUAGUUAACUACUAACCCUAUUACAAAUACAAAGCUGGCAGUUUAUAUUUCCUAUUAUCUUAAACUCUAUACAAAUUGCAGUUCUAUGUUAUUUAUAUUUCCUAAUAUUUCUGCAUGAAAUGUCCACAGGAGAAUUUCUGCCACCGAAGGAAAAAGGUUAGUCAAAAUUAAAUGUACUAUUUACAGUUACACCGUAAUUGGGAGAACGAACCAGAAUGCUUGUCAAUCAAAAUGGCUAAAUUGCUCGGACUGCGUUGACCGAAAAAAAUAAAAAAUAAAAAGGAGCAUGAAUAACAGGUGCAUGACAACAACUGAAUUCACAGUCUACUUUUUAUUUAUUUAUUUGUUUAUUUAUUUAUUUAUUUUGGUCCUAUUACCAUGCCAGGACACAGUAGAUGAAAGGAAAAGCUAAAAAAAAAAAAAUUCAAUUAAUUAAUUAAUUUUAAAAAUCAUGAACCCUGAUGGUGCAUGGGAAAAAUGAAAACGUUCCUGUAUUAACCGAGUGUGUGUUACGUUUUGGUUGUGCUUUCACCUCGGCAUUCAAACCCUUUCUGUACUUUACAUUAUUUUGAAAAACAUUUUAUUUUUUUUAUUUUUUUUUAUGUAUGUGCGAAACCUUUCCAUCUUGUCUAAUAUUCGAUUGGUUGUGCAUGAAAAAUAAAUCCCAGAUACAAAAUAAACGUAUCCAUGUCAAAUGCCUUGCCCUCUGAUUUCCUGUUCUGAUCUCCACUGUUUACACGCAAGUUUGACAGAAUUACCAACUCGGUCUCACAAUUUGUAAGACGGUGUAAAGUUAGGGCGAGGGGCAGAAUUAGCACUCAGAACUUUUCUUUAAGGAAAAUGUUUUUCUUAAAGAAAGACUUUCUUUAUAACAGUCACUGUAGCACUGGCGUUAUUGAGCCGGACGACGUCCUUUGACCCGAGUGCAUGACGAUGUAGGCAUGCUGUCUGCACAGUGCUUAAUUGGAGGCUAUACGUUUCAUGUCGCUAUAGGCUACUUCACCAAACAUAUCUUAACUGGUCAACUACAAUAGAAAUAUAUACAUACUUUUAAUUACAUUUUAAAUAUGAGUUUUGGCCAAAUUGUGUCUUAAUACCUUGAAAUAAAAUCAAAUAACUGUACGUGAGAUUGAGUUGGAAUUGGGUUGAAGUGUAUGUACUGGAAGUGUUUAACCCUCUUAAGUCCAUUCUUAUAACAUUCAUCUCGUCACUUUUACUCAAGUGAGGAAUUAAAACACAAAGGAGCGUGCUGUUAAAGGAAAAUCAUGAAUGACGAGGUGGAACGAUUGGCCACUCACAGCACAUCCUAAAGUCUUUUAUUCCUCUUAUACCACAGCAGUUUGCCAAUUCUAACAACACCGGCACGUAUUUAUCCCGUUAUAGUUAUAGUUUAAUGUUCUGGAAUGUCCAAGUUAAAACAAGAAUCUCUCUCUCUUGAAGCUACCAAGGGGGGAAAAUGCGAAAGCUUCUGUAUCUGAAGACCUAAUGUUACUGCAUUACCUCUGACUGACUGUUACAAAGUUACAAAGCUCUGACACUGGAGACUCCUUCCAAAAAAUUUGAACUAAACAUCUCCGUAUAGAAAGCCUCACUGUAUGAACAAUCACGCAUGUUUUUUUUUUCUUGUUACUACAGAAACGAUAACCUAUUUGAACGAGUGCCUUAAUAUAAACACGUUAUAGAAAAUUAAUCAACACUAAUCAACACUGACCAAUAAUUCGAUUGGUCCAAGAACUGACGUACCGACCCGAGAAUUCAAAGUGCUGUGGUAUCGUUACAUUUAAUUAGGUUAUUUAUUAAUUACACCAACGGUUACAUCUAGAAAGUGGAUAUUGUUUAUUUUAAAUUGUCGAAAGUUUUUAAACGAAUUAAUUCAAUGUAUUUAAUUGAGCUGUGUAGAACACGGGUGUGCGUUAUAUUCUACAUUAUAUUUAUUCAUGCGACCGAGAGCAUUUUAGUUCAAGUUGGAAAUGUGAAAUAUUAACGCCGCUGAGAUUCAAACAUUGCCCUUCAGUUCACUGAUGUUUACUCACUUAACCUGAAGGGUGGAGUUAAUUAUAAAUCUAAAUCUAAAAGCCUAUAAAUUUCGCAUGAGACUGGGUCGGAGUUUUACACCUCAUCAAAUUAUAAAUUUGUAACCACACAACAUGGCUUCAU